GAGUACAUGUUAUGAUCGAUCUUUUUCCACCCCGCCCUUUUUUUUUCAACUUUUUUACAUAAGAAACGCAAAUCCUUUUUCCUUCAGUCAUUCACAAUCAUUCAUGGCUAGUGGCGGUGGUGCACGCACUCGGUGGGAAUAGCUGGGAACCUAGACGUGUCAGUGCAAUAGUCAUAGAUGAGGUGAUUGGCUCUAACCCACAUGAGCUGGUGGCUUUGGUGCACAUUGAGCUCAGACAAUGUUGGCUCAUCCCACCAGAACCUUUU
rnacentral:lncRNA from 1 species